UUUGAAAGUAAUUAUAUAACUAGAAGGAUGCAGCACAGUAAGUUCAAAUACAUAUUAAAACAAAAUAAAAACAAAGCAAACAAAGGUAAAUCCACUUGUGCUUUAAUCAGAUAUAUAUCGGCCAAUGUUCUCAUUUCAAACACAAGUACCAUAGAUACGCCCAAGAACUUUAACAUGUUUAAAAAUAAUGUCUCCCGGAAAGCAACAAUAAGAACAUGAUCUAUAUUCUUUGCUUCUUUGAAGCUUCAGAAAGUUCAUAGCAUCUACCUAUAUCAACUAGAAGUACUAAAAUAUUGUAAUACAAAUAAAAGACAAACAUCUCGAUCUCAUUCGUCUGAUAUCAAACCUCUUGGCAUCAGACUUAUACGUCACGCAUUCCUGGUUAGCAAUGGUUUAUGUCUUCAACUUACAGCACACACAAACAAUCGACUCAACCUUAGACAUAGACACUACACUUACGUUUGAAGCUAGAUCUCGCUGACAGAAAACUUUCAAGCGGGAAAAGAAAUAAUAAUAAACAGACAAUAAAUAGUGUUUCUGACACUACAAGGCAGCCCUGGAAACACAAUUAACCUUAAGCAACCAGCUGUUAACUCCUGUGAGCUAUAUCCUCGAAAAACAUUUGCCUCUCUCUCUCUCUCUCUCUCUCUCUCUCUCUCUCUCUCUCUCCUUUUUACUUAAAAUUAAGUAAAGCUUGGAUUUUAAGAUGUAGUCAAUUUAGCAUAGUUUGGUGAACAACACCAGCACCGCCCAGGAUGAAAGCAGCGCAUCGAAUUGUUAACCAAACAAAAAUGAACUAAGAAAAACAAAACUCUGAACAAUUUCAUGGCAGGAAAAGAAUCAAUACGUAUUUCAGAACCAAAAGAUCUCACCCCUUUCUCUACUUGAAACUGAUCUUGUAGUGGAAGGGAGAAAGAUCAAAAUUUUACCCAAUCCAUAAUCAAAGGAACAAAAUUGAAACCGAAUAUCCACCAAAAAGAGCUAAAACAUGAAAUUGCAUAUUUAAAGAUAACAAAAGUGAUUAGAAUUGUGGAAUCUGGUAAAAGGGGAUUAAAGUAGAAUAAAACAAUCAAACAAAUAAGAAGGUAGGAGAAGCACCUCCUUUGACAGAAAAAGCAAGGAUCGGUUGAGUGAAAUGAAGAUUACAGGUCUGAGUUGGAUCGUUUUCUCACUAAGUCUUCCUCUCACUUCAAAAAGAAAAAGAAAGGCGAUGGGAACCAAAAUCUGCUGCCUGCAACACUUUGCUGCUUUACCUUUGACAGUGUUUUAUUUUCUUACCUUAAAAUGAAGGUAAAAUAGUUUAAUGUGU
rnacentral:lncRNA from 1 species